AUUGAACGCUGGCGGCAGGCCUAACACAUGCAAGUCGAGCGAGCGGCGGACGGGUGAGUAAUGUCUGGGAAACUGCCUGAUGGAGGGGGAUAACUACUGGAAACGGUAGCUAAUACCGCAUACCAUCAGAUGUGCCCAGAUGGGAUUCGCUAGUAGGUGGGGUAACGGCUCACCUAGGCGACGAUCCCUAGCUGGUCUGAGAGGAUGAUCAGCCACACUGGAACUGAGACACGGUCCAGACUCCUACGGUAGUCAGAAGGGGGGAAUAUGGCACAAGGGGCGCAAGCCUGAUGAAGCCAGGCCGCGUGUGUGAAGAAGGCCUUCGGGUUGUAAAGCACUUUCAGUGGGGAGGCGUUACCCGCAGAAGAAGCACCGGCUAACUCCGUGCCAGCAGCCGCGGUAAUAC
rnacentral:rRNA from 1 species